rnacentral:rRNA from 1 species
AGUGAACGCUGGCGGUAGGCCUAACACAUGCAAGUCGAACGGCAGCACAGUAAGAGCUUGCUCUUACGGGUGGCGAGUGGCGGACGGGUGAGGAAUACAUCGGAAUCUACUUUUUCGCGGGGGAUAACGUGGGGAAACUCACGCUAAUACCGCAUACGACCUACGGGUGAAAGAAGGGGAACUUCGGACCUUGCGCGUUUGAAUGAGCCGAUGUCGGAUUAGCUAGUUGGCGGGGUAAAGGCCCACCAAGGCGACGAUCCGUAGCUGGUCUGAGAGGAUGAUCAGCCACACUGGAACUGAGACACGGUCCAGACUCCUACGGGAGGCAGCAGUGGGGAAUAUUGGACAAUGGGCGCAAGCCUGAUCCAGCCAUACCGCGUGGGUGAAGAAGGCCUUCGGGUUGUAAAGCCCUUUUGUUGGGAAAGAAAAGCAGCAGGUUAAUACCCCGCGGUUCUGACGGUACCCAAAGAAUAAGCACCGGCUAACUUCGUG